AGACUAAAUUAUUCUGGUUCAAAAUGGGCUGUUUUUUGAGAUUUCAGUGGAGAGGAAAAAAAGUGUUUAAGUAUUUUCAAGAGAGGUAACCUCGCUCGGUGAGCCCCGCCCGCGAUCCACGCUCUCUGGGAGCUAGGAGGGGCGCAGGAGCCGGGGUCUCUGCCCUGCCCGCCUGGCUUCCAGAUGUGGUGCAGCGCCAGCGCGCGGGGACACAGUGUCCGCCAGGAGAAGGAAGGGCCGCCCUGCACCACACCAGGCCAGCCUCUGGUGUUAAUGAGAGCCUAUAUUUGGAAGUGGCAUCUGGAGAGGUUUGCCUUGCACAAAGACCAAAUAAUUACCUCUUGGCUUUUGAAAAAGGAAGGGGGAAGCGGGAAGACAAAGGCGCCUGUGAGCGCGGAGGACGCUCUCCUGGGACUCUGGCCUGGAGCGGGACUGCAGCCUUGCGUGCGGCGAGGGCGCUGCGCUACUCAGGGCUUCCGCGAAGCCAGGGGCAGCGCGGCCGCGUGCAAAUUAAGUACUCAUGUCACCGUGUUAGCUAUGGUGGCUUGAAAGAAAUGCUUUGUAGCCCUCUAAAGGCAGGCUGAUCGGAAGAACUGGAAGAUUGCAAAGAUAAAAAGGAACUCUGGCAGAGAAGGGGGGCAAGAGGUGCUGGAGGAAAAAAGUGAAAAAGAAAAUAACAGUGGUGAUGUCAAGACUUGUCAGAGAAAAGUGCAUUGUCAGGUGUACCCAUGUGUGGGUGUGUCCAUGUGGUGUGCCUGCCUUGCUCCAGAAUAAGCCUCCAUAGGUUCCCAUGGCAGUGGACAUGUUUGGUAAACUUGUAAGGUGACAAGGAAAAUUGAUCAAGUUACGUUAAGAGGAAAAAAGGCAUUCCAGGCCACCAUAUCCUUAGUCACGUAGGCUACUACCAGGUCACUUCUAUAGAGGGAGAAUGCCGAGCCAAUUUGUCUGCAUCAUUUCUAUGGCAUGAAUCAAAGUUGUAUUUGUGUCCAUCAGAAUAGAGACUUUAUGCUGGAGGAAAAUCACCCAUGAGCCCCAGGGAAGGCAGUGAUUUGACACAAUGAUGUUGAAAGUCAAGAGUGCUCAGCAUGAAAUGCCCCAGCGAUGACAGCAGGAUUAACCAUCAGUGUGAAGACAGAAUGGGUGUGCCUGUUGAUGAAAGGCGCUUGGACACAGAGGCAGCCCUUCCCUGGCUCUUCUGAGGAUGUCUGCUGGAUGGAGAACAGUCAGAACACCUAUGGAUCUGAAGCUUAACCAAAGUGGAGAUUGAGCAGCUGUGGGAAGUCAUAAGUAAAUCACAUUUACAACUCAGCUGGUUGUACAGAUGCAGUUUGGAAAAUUUGGAAGCUGGUUUUAUAUAUUGUAUCAUUCUCUUUUGAGAAAAGUUGGAUAUUUCUGCUUGGAGUGUGUCAAUGGAUUCCAAAGUGAAUUUGAAAAAAAAAAUCUAGAAAUGAUAGGAAGUGGUAUGCUCUUCAUCACCAUCAUCAUUUUCUUAUGAGAGCACUUAAAUGUAUAUAUUUUGAAGAAAUUUCAGUAGAUACACCCACAGUCAUUUCAGGUUGAUGAACCAUGCUCUUGAAGCCUCAGCGCAAUUGCCAGAGCACUAAGAUGGAGAAACAAUAGACGUUUUCUUUGGAAAGAACAAUUAAAGGUGAUUGAUCACAAAUUCUUUGUCUUACACGCAGCUUAUGUUUUCUUAAGCUGUGUCAGCCUGGAGAUUAAAAGAAGGUUCAAUUAAAAACA